rnacentral:tRNA from 1 species
UGUCCAGGGGCGGGAAUCGAACCCACAACCUUCUGCUUACCGGGCAGGUGCCAUGUCCACUAGGCUACCCUGAC